rnacentral:lncRNA from 1 species
UGACUUAAUCCAUGUUGAGUGGCAAUUACAGGUCUACCAUUUCCUUUUGUGAGCUUGCUUAUAUUUGGAAUGGGACCGUGGCAUCUCGGAAUUAGAACCUACAAUCUUUCCUUUUUCCAAUGUAUUUAAUCCCCCCAUCCUCCCCAUAAAUGAAUGGCAUUCGCCAUACUUGCAACAUGGCUGGCGCACAACUAACUGCAUGCAAAUUGAUUGUAUGACUGUUAGCAUACACCAGCGGGACACACCUCAUCCCAGUUCAUCUACACUCUUCUAACUGUAUCUAAUUUCAUCUCUAAGUAGUAUUAGUGACGAUUCUUAUUUUAUGUUUAUUCGAAUAACGAUUGAAGCAACGAGAUUAAAAUCAAUUAAAUAGUAUUCCUAAUCCAAGUUUAGUUACCAAAAUACAAAAUCCAAGGCAUUAAGUACUAAUUAUCAUGCAUUAAAUACCAAAAUAACACUGGAUUAUCAACAUGGUAAUCUCUGUUUUACAAAAAAUCCGAUACGAUCAUGUUCGUUUGACUUGCCAGUUAUGUCUAGUACUCAGGUCUGUCACCAAUAUAUGCACACAAUGACCAAUAAGGCAGAGUGUACAGCCCUAUGUGCCUGGUGUGCAGUUAAUGCCAUCCAGGACAUGUCUCUGCCUACUACUAUAUGUAGUUACUCUUAAGUUCAUCACACAUUAUUGAGUUCCUUAUGUUAUUUAAUAUUCUUACAUAUAUAUAUAUAUAUCUUAAUUUUAGUAUUUAUUAUUCAUAUAAUUUGAGAUAUUAGUUGAAUUUGAAUUACUGUAUUAUUUUUUUUUUUAUAUUAAGAAAAUUAAGAAAUCGUCGUACACAUUUUAUGACGCGUACUUUUUUGUUCGGUAGUUCUCCUACCGUCGAUUAUUAUAUGAUCGGGGACCACAAACCAUUAAAAUCUUAAUAAAUUUUGGAACAGGUGGAGAGUAGUUUUUCACUAAAACUCAAAAAAUUUUAAUUUGUGAAAUCACUGUAAUAUAUGCAUUCAAUCUUUAAAUAUUUAUUAUUAGGAUACUAUUAAAUCAUAUCUAAUUACAAUUUAUCCAUUUAAUUAAGAUUUGUAUUGAAAUUAAAAUUUAAUUAAUUGGAUCGGAAAUUCUUCUGCGAUUAUAUUUACCUGCCAGGAGCUUUCAAUUCGCCCACUCCGGAUAAC